CCCGCAUGGCACUAGGCCUCACUUUCAUCUUGGCCUUCUCAAAAUCUUCUAAAGUGGCUUCUAAAUUUUUUUCUUCCACCAAAAAUGUCUCCUUAUAACUAGUACUAACCCCAUUAUCAUUGCUAUCUGAAAUUUCAGAAACUGUUCCAAUAGAAUCUGUACAAACGUCUUGCAUCUCACCCAGGCAAUCAGAUUCUUUUAUCACACUGUCACAAUGAGAUUCAUAUGCAACAGAUGAC
rnacentral:misc_RNA from 1 species